UACGGGGGGGGCAAGCGUUGUUCGGAAUUACUGGGCGUAAAGGGUGCGUAGGCGGUUCUCUAAGUCGGAUGUGAAAACUCUGGGCUCAACCCAGAGCCUGCAUCCGAAACUGGAGGGCUAGAGUUCUGGAGGGGGUAGCGGAAUUCCUGGUGUAGCGGUGAAAUGCGUAGAUAUCCGGAGGAACACCGGUGGCGAAGGCGGCUUCCUGGACCGACACUGACGCUGAGGCGCGAAAGCUAGGGGAGCAAACGGG
rnacentral:rRNA from 1 species